GGGUCGGUAGCUCAGGUGGUUAGAGCGCACGCCUGAUAAGCGUGAGGUCGGAGUUCAAGUUCUCGACCCACCA
rnacentral:tRNA from 1 species